rnacentral:misc_RNA from 1 species
GUUCUUCAGAUAAAACCUCCACCAUUUUAUCAAUACUGUCGGCUUUGGAAGUCUCUGAUGAAUUCCCAAGUGACAAGGCAAGUGCACGAGCCAACUCAUCAUCUUCUUGAGCGGGAUCUUCAGCGUGACUAAACAACCACUCCAUAGCCAUCUCCACACUGUUUGUUUCAACUCGUCUUAAUGCCUCCUCAGCUCUUCCUCUUGAAAAGCCCAUCUCAACAAUGGUAGAAAUAGUAGUCUCAUCAGGUGGAGGAGCCAUUGCACGUGGGUUUGCAGAACUUGAUGACCCACUGCGAUUUCG